UACGUAGGGUGCGAGCGUUGUCCGGAAUUAUUGGGCGUAAAGAGCUUGUAGGUGGUUUGUCGCGUCUGCUGUGAAAAUCCGAGGCUCAACCUCGGACUUGCAGUGGGUACGGGCAGACUAGAGUGUGGUAGGGGAGACUGGAAUUCCUGGUGUAGCGGCGAAAUGCGCAGAUAUCAGGAAGAACACCCGUGGCUAAGGCGGCUCUCUAGUACGGUACGGAGGCUGAGACGCGAAAGCGUGGGGAGCGAACAGG
rnacentral:rRNA from 1 species